CUCAGGCUCCAGGGGCUGCACGUGGGAAGAUCUGUCAGCACUGCGGCAGAGAUCACGGGGACCGACCCUGCUAUCGCCUCAACAACACUUGUCGCAUUUGUGGCAGUGCCCAGCAUUAUGCAAGAGAAUGCCCGAGGAACCAGAAUCAAGGGAGGCCUCCUAUCCAGGGCAGAGCUUACAACCUUACCCAGCAGGAUGCCGAUGCCGACGCCGACCCGGAUGUAGUACAGGGUAUGUAUACUAUCUGUGACCAUGUUGCUCAUGUUUUAUUUGACACUGGUGCAUCACACUCUUUUGUUUCACAUGCUUUUGCUUCCAAAAUUAAUGUAUCACCUGAUAAACUUGAUUCAUUAUUGUUUGUGUCUACUGCUGGGGGUGAAACAC
rnacentral:lncRNA from 1 species